AUUUUUAAAGUUUUUAAAAUUUUAAAUUGCAAAUUUAAAGAGAUAUAUUUUUAUAUUAAAAAUU
rnacentral:tRNA from 1 species